GCUCGUUCUCGUUGGGGGAAACCGUCCAGACGCACUUGCUGCCCAUUCUUUACAUCCUGGGGGUGAAUCCCUGAGGGGCCUCUCCUUGCUGAAGAGUAGCCUGGAGCUGGACGGAGACUGACCCGCCACGUUUCCAGCCGCCGCGAGUCUGCUCAGGAACUCUGGGCUCUUUGCUUCGCGAAAUGUAAAAAUGCAAAAAGGCAAACACAAAAACUCCCAUAAACUUAUGUUAUUUCUAUUUUUCUUUCUAGUUUGCCACCGUUUACAAGGCCAGAGAUAAGAACACCAACCAAAUUGUCGCCAUUAAGAAAAUCAAACUUGGACAUAGAUCAGAAGCUAAAGAUGGUAUAAAUAGAACCGCCUUAAGAGAGAUAAAAUUAUUACAGGAGCUAAGUCAUCCAAAUAUAAUUGGUCUCCUUGAUGCUUUUGGACAUAAAUCUAAUAUUAGCCUUGUCUUUGAUUUUAUGGAAACUGAUCUAGAGGUUAUAAUAAAGGAUAAUAGUCUUGUGCUGACACCAUCACACAUCAAAGCCUACAUGUUGAUGACUCUUCAAGGAUUAGAAUAUUUACAUCAACAUUGGAUCCUACAUAGGGUGGUAUCGGGCCCCCGAGUUACUAUUUGGAGCUAGGAUGUAUGGUGUAGGUGUGGACAUGUGGGCUGUUGGCUGUAUAUUAGCAGAGUUACUUCUAAGGGUUCCUUUUUUGCCAGGAGAUUCAGACCUUGAUCAGCUAACAAGAAUAUUUGAAACUUUGGGCACACCAACUGAGGAACAGUGGCCGGACAUGUGUAGUCUUCCAGAUUAUGUGACAUUUAAGAGUUUCCCUGGAAUACCUUUGCAUCACAUCUUCAGUGCAGCAGGAGACGACUUACUAGAUCUCAUACAA
rnacentral:lncRNA from 1 species